rnacentral:rRNA from 1 species
UACGUAGGGUGCAAGCGUUGUCCGGAAUUAUUGGGCGUAAAGAGCUCGUAGGCGGUUUGUCGCGUCUGCUGUGAAAACCCGGGGCUUAACCCUGGGCUUGCAGUGGAUACGGGCAGACUAGAGGCAGGUAGGGGAGAAUGGAAUUCCCGGUGUAGCGGUGAAAUGCGCAGAUAUCAGGAGGAACACCCGUAGCGAAGGCGGCACUCUGGGCCGAUACUGACACUGAGGAGCGAAAGCGUGGGGAGCGAACAGG